rnacentral:rRNA from 1 species
AUGCUCAUGCACACACUCAUAUGGCCACAAGGCCCAUACGGACACAUCCAUCCUGCUUCACGGCUACUAGUGCCAAGAGCACUCACGCACACACUUGUGCUCACACACACACAUGAAGCUAGCAGCCUCCGGCUCUUUUCCGUAAUAUACAGCUCUAGGAGCAACUCUGUACUGUCACAUAUAUAUACCACACUCGGUAGGACUAGUGGUGUUAUCUCUCCGGAGAGCCUUGAACCUGGGUAUAUCUUGCGUCCCGCGCUCGCUCAUGCCGACCUCGCCUCUGGAGCCCACCAGUGCCCUCGAGCCUCCUCCUAUCUUCAGCCAUCCCAUGGCAUCUGCCGCGCCCACCACGACAGUUGGCACCCACCGUGGGGCAGCUCGAGGUCCUGGCCGGAAGCAUGUUCCAGACGGGGCUCCCCUCCAACUCCGACGAGCCUGUCAAGCUGCCCCGGAACCGCGGUCCAGGCGGGACAAUCUUCAUCAUCACCGUGGUGUAGCGCUGUCACUCCGGUAGCGCUCGGAGGUUCGACAUCAACACGCCUCCGGGGCAACCGCACGGGACGACGCGUCCCCGUCGUCAGUCUUGUCAUUUUCUUCAUCAUCACCGCGGCGUCGCGCCGUCACUCCGGUAGCGCUCGGGGGCUCGACAUCAAGACGCCUCUGGGCGACCGCACGGGACGACGCGUCCCCAUCAUCGGCCUCGCCAUUUUCGCUGUCAUCACCGCCACGAUGUCGUCGUCGUCGUCUCUUCGGCCGCGCUCGGGGGCUCUCCAUCAACACGCCCCCGAGGCGGCCGCGCGGGAACGCGCGUCCUCGUCGGCGACCUCGGCUCCGUCGGCCUCAGCUCUCUUCUCUGCGGACGUUCUGCAUCGUGCGCUUCACCAAUUCCAAGCGAGCAUCCGCAGCCUCGCGCCCUGCCGUCCAAGCGACUGCAGCGCUUCUCCGCCUCGCCAUCGGGCUCGCGGGACGCCCGUCCUCGCAGUCUCAGGCUCACCGGCGCAAGUUCCUCUCUUCUCGCUGCCCAUAUAA